ensembl:lncRNA
CUUAAAUCCCUUUCCCGUUUACUGGAGGGAGUGGUGCAAGACUUCUUCACUAGUCUGUCACAUCGUUAAUAUUCAGACGAGGUAGGUCUUGAAGACACCGAGUAUAGAAGAGAGCCAUGUUUGUUGUAUUGUGUCUGUCGUUUGUCGCCAAGUGCCGUCCACCUCACCGGAAGUUGGUUUGCCGGUAUAGCCAAACCCGGAAUUGUGACGUGCAUUGAACCUAUACACUCCGCAUUCUUCGUGCAUGGUGUUUUGUUUAUAUGUUGCUUGGCAACAGUCUGCUCAGCGGAGAUCUAUUUUUGCUUAGAUUGCUGCUCGAGCGCCUCUCGCUGUAUGUGAUGGCUCGAGCGCGGCGCGCCUCCCGCUGAUUGUGAUAUUGCUGCUCGAGCGCCUCUCGCUGUAUGUGAUAUUGCACAAACACAACAGUUACUAAUAAGCUAAAACAAAUAUGCAAAGCAUAACUGCGUUUUUCAAAAAGAAUGAUGGGAAAACACAAACAAACAGAGGAAGAGAGGAAGAGGAAGAAAUCGCCAGGAAGAAGGUUAGAGUGGAGAAAGUUACUGUAGUCGAUAAAGUCUACAAAUUCAACCCCGACUGGUUGAAGGAUUUCGGUUGGCUACUUUAUGAUGCCGAGAACAUGAAAAUGUUCUGUAAAUUUUGUAAGGAAGCCCCAUCGGCAAUGGCAGGCUCUUCUCUGUUUAGAACCGGGAACCCUAAUCUAAAACGCGAUGCUGUGGUAAAACACAGCGAGUCCGUUCGGCAUUCUCGAUGUCGCGAUUUAUAUAUAAAUCGCACCCAGCCCAAUAACCCUGGCACGGUGGAAGCCGCCGUUGGCAGACAAGUGGCUAUCUCUAAUCAGGACGCGCUCCGGCAGCUGAAGGUUAAAUUUAACAUAGCGUAUGUGAUCGCAAAGGAAGAGAUAGCCUUCACUAAAUUUGGACCGAUGAUUGCCCUUCACCAUAAAAAUGGAUUAAACAUCAAUCCCACAUAUGACAAUGAUGUGAGAUGUGCUGAGAUGGUCGGUCAAAUAGCGGAAGGCAUCAAAGACACUCGCUGCCCAGCUACAAGCGGCCCGUUACCUCGCAGUCCUGAUAGAUGGCGAUACGGACAUAUCAAACACGGAGUGUGAGAUUGUGUAUGUGCGCUUCGUGGAGGAUGGCAGACCGGUGACCCGCCUCGUCGGCCAACAGGCUCUCUUACACGCUCAUGCGCAAGGUGUCCUGGCUGGAACCAAUGCAGCAUUUGAUGCUCUUGGACGUGGUACAUGCGACUGGAAGGCCAAGUGUGUCGCAUUUGGUGCAGAUGGUGCUAAAGUCAACAUGGGUGUGCAUAGGGGAGUGAGUGCUCUACUCAAACAGGCAGCCGGACAGCAUGUAAUUCCCAUUCAUUGCAUGCCUCACAGGUUGGAGUUGGCCAUUCUCAACCUGCAGCGCAAUGAGACAAUGGUGGCCAAAGUCUAUGACCUUCUCCAUCUUGUGUGGAAGACAUACCAACAGAGCCCUAAAUCCAGGCGUGAGCUGAACCUGAUUGGAGAAGAGCUAGGUGUGAGGGUCUGCUCUCCUUCGAGCGUGAAAGGGACGCGUGGAUUCCCCAUGUACACCGGGCACUGAGUGUGUUCCUUCGUGCAGCAAAAGAAGGGAGUCUGUCAACUGACAGUGGUCAGUAUUCGGCUGUUUUGCGCCACAUGGACCACCUUGCCUCCUCAGCAGCCAGUGCUGAAAUUCAAGGGCGUGCAAAGAAGGGUGUACCACUCUCAGGAGAUGUCACAGGAAUGCAGCAGAGGCUACAGAGAAACAUCACCUCUGUCAUCACCACCACUGUGGAAGCCAUUAACACCAGAUUCGGCAGUCUCAUCAAUGAGGACUCCGAAGACUACUCUGCAGUGAAUUGCAUGAAAAUCUUUCAUCACGACACCUGGCCUGAGAAUACCAAUGAACUGGUUGAUUAUGGAAACGAUCAGUUGGAGGCCCUAAUGGAGCAUUUUCGUCAUGUCCUUACAAGCUCUGGAUGUCAGAUGGAUGCUUUGCCAGGGGAAUGGCAGAGUUUGAAGACCCUUUUAAAUUACUCUUACAGAACAUCCUACACCUUGUGGACAUACUGUUGGUCCUCCCAAUUUCUUCUGCACAGUGUGAGCGGGGCUUCUCUGCGCAGAAACGCCUCAAAAGCUCUUUGAGGAGCUGCUUGCAUGUCUCCACCACAGAGGAUCUUAUCAGGAUCACUACAGAGGGCCC